rnacentral:rRNA from 1 species
UACGUAUGGAGCAAGCGUUAUCCGGAUUUACUGGGUGUAAAGGGUGCGUAGGCGGCGCGGCAAGUCAGAUGUGAAAGACCGGGGCUCAACCCCGGGGCCGCAUUUGAAACUGCGGUGCUCGAGUCCAGGAGAGGCAGGCGGAAUUCCUAGUGUAGCGGUGAAAUGCGUAGAUAUUAGGAGGAACACCAGUGGCGAAGGCGGCCUGCUGGACUGGUACUGACGCUGAGGCACGAAAGCGUGGGGAGCAAACAGG